rnacentral:lncRNA from 1 species
UGCUAUUUAAGGAUCACUAACUUAGUCAGGUUGGUUACUGUGCUGUGUUUGCAUUGCGAGGUUUAAGUGUCAGAGCAUUGUCAGUUCUGUUCCUACGAAGAUGGUGUAUAUUAGCCUGUUAUUGAUAUGAAAGUUAUUUAAAUAGGUUUGUAUUACAAAUUUAAAUACUCAAAAUAUUUCCAAGAUGUUUUUAUCAUGGCUUAGUGAUGUAAUUUGGGAAAAUCAGUCUUUUUUAAGCCAAAAUUUUAUUACUUUUAUAACUUGCAAGUAACUAAGCCUGAGUAACAAAAACAUAAGAUUUUUUGUUUUGUUUUUUUAAAGAGUUGUUCAUUCUAAGUUUAACAAAAUGGUAGUUUGUCAAUUGUUUCAUUUUUUGUGUAAUGGCUAUUUGUAUUUGAUUAAAGCAUGCUUUGUUUUAUAUGAAGACUAUUUUAAAUAACCUCCCUUCCUACAUGUUCCUAUUUCAUAUAUUAUAAUGGCAUCCUUGGGAUUUCCUGCAACUAUGUCAGAUUUUCUUUCAACCUUUUUGGACUGCACAGAUUUAUAAAAUCUUUGUGUCUUUGUACCUUAUUGGCUGGCACCAUUUUCUUAUGCUUGCCCCAAAGUAGGGACAUCUUUCUUUUGAAGUAGGCUAGUAUGUUUACUGAUGUCAUGACACUGCAAAGUAGAAAACUUCAUGUGUGAAAGCAGAACUCAAGCCAGCUUUUCAUAGAAAGCACCUUAUGUCAUAAGAUUUCAGUUCACAAGGACAGUGCUGUAUACACAAAAUACAGGACAUUUACUUAUCACAAAUUUGAUCUUUAGAUAUCUUUAAUUAUAACUGGAGACAUAUAGUCUGAAUGGUUGCUGUUUUGUAAGAAAUUGAUUUUCUACAAACCAAAAUUUAGUUGGUUUUUGAAGAAUCUAGUUUCAGCCUAAUCUUUGGUGGAAUUCUUUCUCGAGUGCCUUGUGAACUUAAAGGGGAUAGUAUAUGACCAAGGCAACUUAAAUUCUAUUUUUGUAUGAAUAAAGUUUUAUC